AGAGCGAUACCCGAAAAGCUUAAAAAUAGAGUAGGGA
rfam:Flavobacterium branchiophilum FL-15, complete genome.